CGGACGGGUGAGUAACGCGUGGAUAACCUGCCGUAUACUGGGGGAUAACACUUAGAAAUAGGUGCUAAUACCGCAUAAGCGCACAGCUUCGCAUGAAGCGGUGUGAAAAACUCUGGUGGUAUACGAUGGUUCCGCGUCUGAUUAGCUAGUUGGUGGGGUAAUGGCCUACCAAGGCAACGAUCAGUAGCCGGCCUGAGAGGGUGAACGGCCACAUUGGGACUGAGACACGGCCCAAACUCCUACGGGAGGCAGCAG
rnacentral:rRNA from 1 species